AUUGAACGCUGGCGGCAUGCUUUACACAUGCAAGUCGAACGGUAUCAGGCCGCAAGGUGCUGACGAGUGGCGAACGGGUGAGUAAUGCAUCGGAACGUGCCCAGUCGUGGGGGAUAACUACUCGAAAGAGUAGCUAAUACCGCAUACGAUCUAUGGAUGAAAGCGGGGGACCGUAAGGCCUCGCGCGAUUGGAGCGGCCGAUGUCAGAUUAGGUAGUUGGUGGGGUAAAGGCUCACCAAGCCAACGAUCUGUAGCUGGUCUGAGAGGACGACCAGCCACACUGGGACUGAGACACGGCCCAGACUCCUACGGGAGGCAGCAGUGGGGAAUUUUGGACAAUGGGCGCAAGCCUGAUCCAGCAAUGCCGCGUGCAGGAAGAGGGCCUUCGGGUUGUAAACUGCUUUUGUACGGAACGAAACGGCUCUGGUUAAUACCCGGGGCUAAUGACGGUACCGUAAGAAUAAGCACCGGCUAACUACGUG
rnacentral:rRNA from 1 species